UACGAACGCUGGCGGCGUGCUUAACACACGCAAGUCGAACGAUGAUGCCCAGCUUGCUGGGUGGAUUAGUGGCGAACGGGUGAGUAACACGUGAGUAACCUGCCCCUGACUCUGGGAUAAGCGAUGGAAACGACGUCUAAUACUGGAUAUGACUACUGGUCGCAUGGCCUGGUGGUGGAAAGAUUUUUUGGUUGGGGAUGGACUCGCGGCCUAUCAGCUUGUUGGUGAGGUAAUGGCUCACCAAGGCGACGACGGGUAGCCGGCCUGAGAGGGUGACCGGCCACACUGGGACUGAGACACGGCCCAGACUCCUACGGGAGGCAGCAGUGGGGAAUAUUGCACAAUGGGCGAAAGCCUGAUGCAGCAACGCCGCGUGAGGGAUGACGGCCUUCGGGUUGUAAACCUCUUUUAGUAGGGAAGAAGCGAAAGUGACGGUACCUGCAGAAAAAGCACCGGCUAACUACGUGCCAGCCGCCGCGGUAA
rnacentral:rRNA from 1 species